AACGAACGCUGGCGGCAGGCCUAACACAUGCAAGUCGAAAGAGUGGCGGACGGGUGAGUCAUGUCUGGGAAACUGCCUGAUGGAGGGGGAUAACUACUGGAAACGGUAGCUAAUACCGCAUACCAUCGGAUGUGCCCAUAUGGGAUUAGCUAGUAGGUAGGGUAACGGCUCACCUCGGCGACGAUCCCUAGCUGGUCUGAGAGGAUGACCAGCCACACUGGGACUGAGACACGGGCCAGACUCCUACGGGAGGCAGGAGUGGGGAAUAUGGCACAAUGGGUGCAAGCCUGAUGCAGCCAUGCCGCGUGUAUGAAGAAGGCCUUCGGGUUGUAAAGUACUUUCAGAGGGGAGGCGUUACCCGCAGAAGAAGCACCGGCUAACUCCGUGCCAGCAGCCGCGGUAAUAC
rnacentral:rRNA from 1 species